rnacentral:rRNA from 1 species
UACGAAGGGGGCUAGCGUUGCUCGGAAUGACUGGGCGUAAAGGGCGCGUAGGCGGCUGGCUCAGUCAGAUGUGAAAUUCCUGGGCUUAACCUGGGGACUGCAUUUGAUACGUGUGAUCUAGAGUGAGGAAGAGGGUUGUGGAAUUCCCAGUGUAGAGGUGAAAUUCGUAGAUAUUGGGAAGAACACCGGUGGCGAAGGCGGCGACCUGGUCCUUAACUGACGCUGAGGCGCGAAAGCGUGGGGAGCAAACAGG